GUAUUCAGCUUAAGCCUAAACGAACGAGCCGCCAACUUAACCCGCCGAGAAGAGUAUCUCUGCAGCUUCCUUAUAGACCCUGAUCUCGAUAUUCCGAUAUCAUGUUGCUUAUCUAAACCACCGCCCUUCUUUUUCGUCUUUACGAUCCCGUCAGAAACCGAAUUUUCGUUAACCUUCUCGUCCACUUCAAUCGACAAAAGAGGAGAUAUGCGAGACCUACUGGCUUUACUACUCGAAAGAGCGGCGCUUGCUUUAAUCGCAAGUGCGGCCAUUUCUGAUGCGGUCAAAGGAUAUAGAAGUUUCGAGUUCGGCAAUACAAAAUAAAUCUCGCCAGGCUGUAAUUCUUGAUCCGAUUUCAAAGCGGGGAUGGCUUCGUCGUAGUACAAACUAUCCGAAUUACAUACAAAUGAUUCGGAAGGCGAGGACUCGAGUUGCUCGAGGACUUGAGAGACAGAAAUUGGUGUAACGAAUUGUCGAAACUCUCCUUUAACGGUGACGAUGUUUGCUGUUGAUGCUGCAGAUAUUUUGUUAUCGUUCAUGUCGGGACUGAUCAUAACAGAGAAACAUACACCCAUAUCGCUUCCGUGAAAUGCUUGUGAUUUUGUUGUUGAUGGAGAUGAUAUUCUAGUUGGGAGAGAUGGAGAUGUGUAAAGCUAAGUUAGCGUGUGAGGAAAUACAAGGUGAUAGUGUUAAUGGGAUGAAAUGCGAGGCUUUGCAUGUUCUUAUAGACGUCUCGGCGAAUGAAAAACAAGAGAAAUUUCUAAAGUGGUCCCUUGUGAAAAGUGCCCUUGUGAAAAGUAUACCGUGAUAGCUAUUUUUGACCGAGUUUUAUUUUUAAGAUUGGAAAAACAAAGCUUAUUAGAAUGUGAAAGAAUGUUGCUUAAAAUAAAUAUCCAUAACACGUAACUAAAUGAGUGAUUACAAUCGUUGUUACUGAGGAAUCAAACUUCAGAUUUUCUUCUUUUUUUGGAGUAAAAUUUAAAAAUUAGUAUAUCAUUUAACAAAUUAAUAAUCUGCGAAAGGGGAGUUUGUGAUAUUAUUAUAAAGAGAUAUAUAAGUAACAACACAUUAAAAUAAUGGGUUUGUAUUUAUUUUUUUUUUUGAUAAAUAUGAUUUCCAAACCUGGAACGACAGAGGGUAAACUCUUAACCUAACUAUCCAACCGUGCUCAACACUAUGUUUGUAUCAGUGAGAUUAAAAAACAAUUAAGCGCACUACUAUACUAACACAAAUAUAUUAAGAAAAACAAAGUUAACGGUUUAGCUUUAAUAUAAAGUGAAGCCCAGCCCACAGACACGAGUGCGGCGUGAAACCACUCAAGGCGAUGAUUGACUAGUAGGGUUUGCGUGUUUCUUUAGAAUAAAGUUAUUGACAUACUGCUGUAGACUAAUAUUCAUGGAUUAAUAUUCGUUAAGCCAUGACGCGUUAUUGCAUAAGCAGGCUCUAUUGCUUAUCCUAUAAACUCACGGCCUGUGUUACAAAACCCGUGAAUGCGUGACUAGUGCCUCAAAUCUUGGUUCUGACUUUUAACCUUAUUGUCAAGUUGUCGCUGACUCAUCUAACAUCCCCGUUUUUAUAAUUUUAUGUUCAUGGCCGGUGUUUAUCUAAACGGCCUCCUGUAAUCCACAUACACACACGAUAAGAAGAAUCUAUAAAUAUUUUACCAAGUCCAAACAUACGAAUCUGAAUUAACAGGAACGGUUUUGUCAACUCUUGCUUCAUUACUAGCUACCACUUUUCAAAUAAUAAUUAAUGCAGUAUUGCACAUGGAUGAAAUUUGUACACAUAUCUAAAUAAAAUGAGUUUAGAGACUUGCAUGCAUGUUAGAUAGUUCUAGCACAUUCCAAUUCCAAUCGACAUAAAGUAUAUUGAAUUUGAGUAGUUUAGAUUUUCCGUCUUGCCAAGAUAUUAAUCCAUCAAAAAAUAUUUUAAAAAUUGUUAUCAGAAUCGUAUUAUAUUCACAAUUUCUACUCAUUUAUGAAAUAAAUAAAUAAAAUCUGUAUGUCCACUGUUGAGUUCAUCAUGUUACAAAUAUUUCGUCAACAUUGCAAAUUAAAAUUACUAACAAGAUGUCAACUCUUGCUUUAUUACUAGCUACACACUCUUCAAAGAAACAUUAGUGCAGUAUUACACACGAUUGAAAUUUGUACACACACAUCUACAUUAGAUUUAGUUGAUAGACAAUUGCAUGCUUGUUAGAGAGUUCUCGCACUAAUCUACGGCCCUUCUACAAUCUACGCCCCUACUAAUUAUAUUAUUAGUUGGAAAUUUUCAGUCUUUCCAAAAUCUUAAACCAUCAAAAAACAUUAAAAAUAAUUAUUAAGAUCAUAUUAUAUUUAACAUUUUCCCUCACUUAUGUCAAUAUAUUCAAUUUAUGAAUGAAGAAAAAAAAGAUCUAUUUAUGAAUUUGGUCCAUUAUAGACUUCAUCAUAUUACAAUAAUUCAAUCAAAUCCAUGUUGCUACUUGCUAUGACUAAACACAAACAUGAUUUGAUAAAGUUCUUAAUAUUCAAUUAUUUAUAUAUUCUUUUUUCACAACAUUGUCACCUCGUUGUUGUCCGGUAGGAUGGAUGAUUUAUUAAUAAGAUUUCCCAUUAAGUAUGCUACUUUGAUCUUUUUGUUACCGUGACGUGAUUUCAGGCAAGGUGUUCUUUAGUUGGGGCAAGUAGAUGGCUUGAUUGGGCUUAGAGUAAUGGGUCGAUCCAUAUAUGAUACUAUCUUUGGGGCUUGAGUCAUUGAGAGUAUUGGACACUCGUAUAUACUUGAUCUUUUAGUCUUUAUUUAUUUUAGACUAAAUUUCACUGUGGCCUCAUUUUAUUUUAUUUUUGUAAAUACAUAUUUUAAAAAACUUACAGUUGUAACAAUACUAAUAAAAUUAGAUUAAUAGUCUCCCCAUUAUUUUUAAUCUUAUACUCCAUCUGUCCCUCUCAUUUCUUUACGGUUACUAUUUUGGGAUGUCCCUCUCAUUUCUUUACGUUACCGUAAAUAGUAAGUUUUUCACAUCAUUACACCCACUAUCUUCUUCUACUAUCUCAUAUUUAACAAUAAAAACCACUAUUACACCCACUACUUUCCUCCACUAUCUCAAAUCUAUUAUUAAAUAUUGAUAAAUCCCACCACUUUACUCAUUUUUCAUCUAAUUUUACUCAUUUUUCAUACAUUGUCUUGGUCUCCGUAUCCCCCUCCAGUGUAAACAAUUGAGGGGGACGGAGAGAGUACAUUAUAUACUCAAGGCCACUCAAGAGUAACUUAAACAUGGUUAUUUGUGUAUGUAUGGAUACAAACUAAAAAAUCCUCACUUUAAUUUUAAAAAACGAAUAUAUGCCAUCUCGAAAAUUCUUUCUUGUCUAGACCAAAUAUUUAUUCUACCAAAAUAAGAAAAGGAUAGGAACAUAUUUAUUCUGCCCCAGGUUAUUAUGCUUUGAAAAUAAGAACAAAAGGGGCGAAAACAAGGAAGAAAACACACGGAACAAUCAACAAAGUAGGCGAGUUCUGGUAAGUGGUAGCUCAUGAGUCAACACGGCCUGUGACAAAGCCUUGAAAAUCCGUGGCAGAACAGCAGAACAGCACCUGUAGCUUCAUAUUCGUGGCAUAUUUCAACAACGCCACGUUUACAAUCAUGAUCCACAAAGUUAGCUCCCUGUCUCCAGUCUUAUCCUAUGGAGUAAUAUAUUUCUCGAUAAUAUAUAUUUAUAUUUAUAAUUAUUUGUGUACUAUAUUCUGUUGCACGUACGUGCCUGCUGAGUCAAUAUAACACGGCCGUUAUUGACUCAUAAUUUAUAUAUUAAUAAUAUAUUACUCUGUUUGUAAACAUGAGUCACUGACUUGUGGCUACCAAUUUUCUUUUUAAAGUGGAUAUAAUGUUCCUUUGAAGUGGAUAAAAUUUACAGCUUCACUUGUAGUAUAGCUGUGCUUCAUGUUUAAAGGAACAGAGUCGAUCGUUAUUAUCUAAUUCGUCAAAUAAUUUCAAAUAUUCAAUUAAUUAUUUUACUAAUUAAAUUGAUUUUCAAUUAAUUCUUAUUCAAAUUAAUCUUGUAUCAUUAUCGAUUAAAUUUGGGGCCAAUUAACAUGUCCACUCCACAUUUCUCAUAAAAACAAGAGAAACUAAUUUUACACAUGGCAACAAGGUUAUCCAAAAAAUACACAUCACAGAUACAAUAAACUUGUUGUAUAACAUGCAUUUAAAUAUACGUAUAAAACACGUUUAUUCCUACUUUCGAGUACAUCUAAUUAUACAAGAAUAUUUAGCAAAAAAAAAAAAUUAUACAAGAAUAUACACCAUCUUCACUAUUAAUGUGCUACCUCCGCUCGUUUCUACUUUCUGUGAACCAGAGUAUAUACAAUGCUUGCUUCUACCUUUGCCAAACGUCGCACAAGAUACUAUCACAUUACACAUACAUUACAUAUUUUGUUUUCUAUAUACACUAAUACACACUCUGUACUUCUACAUUUCACUAUGUAUACAUUUUUUUCAUUAUUAACUUUUUCGCCAUCAGUUACUCUUAUUCAUCUAACAUUUUGUUCUGUUUCUAACCUUGCUUCCUUGUUCAGCGUUUAGGCCACUAGCUGACUAGCUCCGGAAUGUGCAUUGCAAGACGUGAUUAAAAAGGAGCCCGAUGCGGAAUUCCCUUCCUUCUGCUGGGAUUCCGAUGAUUGAAGAUUGGGGGAGUGCCCGGGGAAAUACUUCGAUGAUACUGCUCCUCGUCUCCCGAUGUAGAGCCAGAAUACUUGUCAUAACCACCAUAACAGAAGCGCGGAGAGUCAUUUGAAAACAACGAGACUUCGUUGAAACGAUUGAAGACAUGGUUCUUCUGAAUCUUCUUGGGCGUGGAGGGUUCAUCAAACUCUGAUCCAUAAUAUCCAUGAUAGUCUUUCACCUUCAACGUGAAUGUGAGCUCAUGAUCACCCCGCAUUAUACCCCCAAGCUGUUAUUAGAUCGACGACAGCAAUCAACAUAAUCAAAAUCCAUAUGGCAGCUACUAUAAUUCAAACAAAAAUAUAUCUUCUUACAUGUAAUUCAAUAGAUGAACAAUAAGUCACUCAAUCAAAUGCGGAACAUAUUUAUGCAAUGAAAAGCAAAAUCACUAAAACAGAACAGAAAUACAAAUCCAACCACCAAAGCUACAGCAAUCCUAAUUUUAUUUCAUUACAUAUCAUAACAAUCAAAUUUCACGAAUUUUUACUGGCAUAGGAAAAAAAUUGCGCAGAAAGAUAUUAACCUUGCAGCCGAGAGAACAGAACCUAAAAGUGUCAAGAAGGCUCCGAGCACAAAUUUCACAAGUAUUGGUAACACCUUUUCCAGGCCUGGGCUGCGGACGCUCAUUCAGGAACACAAUCUUGGCGCUGUUGAUGAUAUAUGUUUGGACACAAGUGAUGUCUAUGUACUUCUGUAUCUCACUUGCCCUCACCACAUUAUGGUACGAAGAUCUCCGUAUCUACAACACACAAAAAAUCUCAGAUAACUAGUUUUAUCAAUCAAUUUGAUUGAAGAAAAGACCUCCAAACUGACCUGAAUAACACGGUGAUCUUUGUGAUUAAUCAAACAGUAAGAACAAAGAGCAUUUCCCAUGCAAUCCAAACAGUACAUAUUGCAUUCACAUUUGCUGGAAGCUCCAUGAAAUUGGCAGGGCACAAAGUAAUCAGCUUUCAGCAAUGGAAUCAACCAUGGGGGACUUAUAAUAUCUUUAUAUUCCAUUCCACUAGCUAAACUCACCUAGAACAUAAUCCAUAUAAUCACCACAUAAAUAUAAGAAAUUUCAACUUCUUGAAAACCAAUAAAAAUCUAGAAAAUAUAAAAAAAAAACAGGGGAAAAGCAUAAGUUUCUUAUGUAGAACCUCAAUCAAACGCUGUAGAUAUUAGAAAAAUAGAAUGAAUUAAACCAUUUAUAGAGAAUUCAAACAAGAAACAAGACUGCAAAUCGAAGAAGAUGAAAUAAAAAUCUAACCUUUGAAAUUAGUGUUGUAUGCACCUUGAAUGAACACAAAAGCGUCACGUAUACUGAGCAGACUUGUCACUUAUCUUUUGCUCUGUUUUUGGGGUGUUUUUUUUUGUGUUUAUAUGAUCAUAAAAUGAGAGAAAGAGAGAAAGACAGAGGGUGUAGUUAGAAGAGGUAAAGACUAAAGACUAAUAUAUUUUAAUCAAUAUAUUUAUUAAACCAAGAUGAAAAGGAUUGAAACAAAUAUAGAAAAGUAUAUACUAGAAACAUUAUAAUUCGGUCGACAGGAACCAAUAUAAUAGUAUAAGAUUAAACUAUCUAAAACUGAAUUAUUGGGGCAUUAGAGGAGUGAUUUGUUGGCAACACUCCUAGUAGAUAAGAUAAAGAUGUGAAAAUUAAAUAAUAAACGACGUGCACUGUGAUUAAUGAGGUGAAUUUUGGGACGGACGAGCGGAUAUGCAUGAACUGAAAUUCUGGACCCCACCUGCAUUUUGGCUUCAUGUGUGACCAGAGCUCAAAUUUGUUACGCCAAAUUUUUUAUCAGUGGUCACAUUCAUGUCCUAACAUGUGUUCCACCGUAAGGCUCACAGCCCAGAAAGUUAGGCCCGUUCAGUUAUGCAAAGUUUGGCCCAAACUGAUAUCCAUAUUUCAAAAACAAAAAUAGAAUGAGCAAACAGCAGAACAUACAAAAUAGAGGCACCAGAAGUUUUGAAAUGCUGCCAACAUGUUCAAGAAACAUUAACCAGCAUAGCUGUGCUUUAAAUAUAUAUAUAUAUAUAGCAGAUAUUGAAAAUUAUUAAAAUCCUAUUGUUCAAAUAGCCUAUUAGAUAACAUUUAUAUAAUCUAUAUGUAAAAACUGACGGAAGGAAAAUCACAUAAAAUGCCCAAAUGAGUCCAUGAAAACAGUUGCAACUUUCAAUGUGAAAUGCUGGGAAAAUAUGCAAAGGAAUUCCAUUGCCAAGUUUUCCCGGUUGUCAAAGAUUGUCAAAUAGGUUGCCACUGGUCGCCGGGAAAUCUGUCACCUCUGGUUACAGGUUUCGCCUUGCGCUGAGUACUACCAUUAGCCACCAGGAACAUGAAAAGAACAAUCAGGAUUGCAAGUAUCCACCACAUCAAUUGUUUACAGUAGUGUCUCUUCCCCCUGUUGCGAAGAGCUGGGGGAAUAGCAGCAGGUUUUGGUUUGCUGUACUUGUUAACUUGGGAAGAUUUCUUAGGCUGUGUCCCGGGACUGUCUGUCCUCUCUUCCUUAAUAGACUCUGUCUGGACUUCAAGACCAGUUUCUCCAUCGGUGUUUUUCUUUUCCUUUUUUCUUUGGCGCUUCUCUUUAUCCUACAUACAAAGCAGUUACUAUUAUAUCAAGACAAGAGUGCAAUGCAAACCAAAAAAUUUACAGAAGACAGUAAUAUGUAUCCGAAGGAUGGAUGUAAAUGAAAGCAAAGUUGAAAUGGAACGGCGAUUACCUUUUCUUUCUGUUCUGCUUCCUUUUGAGCCCGUAACAUGGCCCUCAUCUGGGCUUUCUCUGCAUUUCUCUUUUUCCGCUCGAGUGCCUCCUGAGCUUUCGCUCUCUCCUCCUGUCGAAUUUUCUCUUUCAACUUCGCAGCGAUCUCUUCUUCUCUCACCAUCUCAGCUUUCCUUGCCAAUUCCAGCUCUUCCUCGGUUUGCUGUUUCACUUCCUCCUUUGUCUUAACAUCUUCCAGGUAGUCAGAAACAAUAUUUAACACACUCCCAGACCCAGAAAUAGGUUUGACAGAUGUUUUGUCUUUUAAAAUCUUGUUUUUAGGUUCUGCCACAACCCUGGCCUUCCCAUCUACUUGUUCACUUUUAACAGGUUUCAUUGAAUUUUCUUGUUUCAGAUUUGUAGCCAGUGAUGGAUAGGUUGUUCCCAGUGGAGUAGACUGUUGCAUUUCCUCCUUUUCACCCACAUACAUAGGAAUUACAGGUGCCUCCUCAUCAAUUCCAAGUGAACGGCCAUCUAAUGUCUUUAGUCUCCUCAAUGUGCUUCUGUUGUUGCAUCUAACAUAGUCUUCCCGGAAUUUAUCAUUCUUGUUCCAAAGGUCCAUGAAAGUCUCCACCUGAUAAAAAAAAAAACUUGCUAAUGUAAACCAGAGGAAAGAAGAUAAAUUUUUUCCUUUAACAAACAGGGUAAGCCUGACCAACCUGAUUAGAGCAAAGACGAUAAAGUGCCUCUUUAUUUCCACUCAGUGCAUAAUCAUUAGCUGCCUUUGCUUCAUCCUUGUACAUCCAGAAAUUCUUGCUCUGCAAUGUAAUUACUUCUUAUCAAAUGCUGCAUUAUACUGCUUUUCAGCAAUGUGUUGCUUUAGUGAAUAUAUCUCUGUUAUUGUAUUGCUUCUGCUGCUUUUUUUUGUACUGAAACAGAUUGUACUAUCUAUGUAUAUGACGCAGUGACAAAACUCCAGCAGUCCAACCUGAUCUAUGAGCCAUUCGUUGGCCCUCAUAUUAAUAGAUGGUAUAAUAACGCAUUCUCCGUACGACAUUUGGUGUUGCCAAAAGGAGGACAACAUUUUCGGAUAUCAUAGACUUAGCAUAAAAACAUUUACAUAUCAUUGAUAGGGUCUAUUGCAAUCCAAUGGAGAACAAGUAGACCAACAAAAAAGCAAUAUAGAAAUAACUAAUAAGUAUCACAAAAUAAAGAGAUGCAACUUAAGAUACUGGAACAAACCUUCUCAUGCAGCUGCCUUUUCAAACUAGAGAAAUAUUUGUAUGCGUCUUGCCGAACAUCAUUGACAGCUCUGAACUGAGCCUGCAAUUCUUUUAGCCUUAUACUUUCACCAUUAUACUCCUUUCCUAACAGUAUGACAGCAGCUUCAGCAUCAGAAACCUUGGCCUUCAGAUCACUUAGAUCCCUCUUCAAAGUCUACAUAUAUCAGCAAAAAAGAAGAAAUAGUAUAUUAGCAAAAGAAUAAUGCUCCGACUUCUGCCUAUAAGAGUAAUUGCUAAUUGAUAAAUGGGAACCAGGAACAAUUAAGUGAGAAAACUAAAGCUCCAACCGGGUUGAUUUCGGAUGUAGAUUUUAAACAUUUUACCUUUCUCAAUUUGAUGUGAUGAGCUAGCGAAAUCUGCAUACUGCUUGUUCAUUAAGGAACAACAGAGACACACAUACCUUUAGCUGCAUUUCCAUGGGUUCUAUCUGACCAAAAGCUUGGUUAACUUCGUCCGCGGGACAGACAUUGGAAGAAAUUUGAUCUCGUAGCUUUCUCAAUGUAUUAAUUUCACGUAGCAACUGCUUUUCCUCCUUCAAGGGAUUGGUCUCAUGCUCUAUCAUGUGUUCCAUAUGCGCUAUCUGAAAAAAACCCAUUAAAUAAGCUAUAAUUGGAUUCAAGUUGUACAUAAUGCCAGUUGUUUUCAUUUUUAGCAAUUAGUUGGAAGAAAUAAAAGUCAUCGUAAGAGCAAAUGCUUACCCUGUUAGUAAUAUCUAUGACUGAAAUCGAGUUCUUCACUCUAUUUAUAUCAUCUUGAAUGGAAUCUAUUUCCUGUCUUUUGAGCUUAACUGAUCUCCUUGCAGCUCUCUCAUCUGAUUUAGUAGCUUCAUAUUUAUAAUUAAUUGAUUGGAGCUUGGCCUGUUCAUUGAACAUUAGAUUGGUUACAACUCAAGAUAUAAUUAUAUCAUAUACAAUAAAAAAUAUCUAGUACGUACCUUUUUCAUAUCAAUUUCACGUCGUAUAUCAUCUCUUUUACUUGUCUUCUCAUCAACCAACAGCUGAGCAUCUUUUAUUUGUUGUCGAAGCUUAUCAUCAUCAAAUCUGGGAAGUCUGACAAGAAAUUGGAAUGGCUUUGCCUUGGCCACAAAACCCAAAUUUUGUCCAUUUACAGAAUCACUACUUGAAGAGUCCAGCAAAGGAGCAGGUCCAACAUUAACUGGUCCACUUGGAACUUUAGAUUCAGCUACAGUUGCAUCUUUAGCAGGCACAUCAGAAUGGUACUGAACGCCAGUUUUAAAAUUCAUAUCCACAUAACUAUCAGACCCAGAAUUCAUUGUUAAGUCCGCCCUCCCAGUAUUUUCACUUUCACCAUCUGAGAUUUGGGAUUUGGAAAGCACAUCCACAUCGCUUGAUUUGGAAAGUAAUUCUGCUGAAUCAAAAGUACCAAAUUCAAUCUUCAUCGCAGAUAUCCCAUCAUUAGAAUGGCGACUAGAAACACAAUCAGAAAUAUCAGAAUGUGUUCCAGUCGUAGCAGAGCCGGUCUUCACAUCUUCUGAGUCAAGAUUCUUAGUUUCCAAUUCAGACUUCUUUUCAGUGACUGGAAAAGCCAGAUUUCCAACUUCUGGUCCUCCUGCACUGCCAUUGGAAUCAGACUGGAAGCCUCCAUCACCUUGAGCUUGCAUUACCAUACCAUUGCAUUGAGCAUCAUCAGAAUUUCUGUUCAGCUCAAGUGAAUUUGCACAACUGCCUAUCUGUUUAUCGAGAUUUGUCUGUAAGGUGAGAGAUUCAUUUGUCAUUGUCCCAUCACCAUUCGUCACCUGGAUAAAUCCGGAUGGCUCAAGUUCUACCGUCGCACCAUCGUUUGUACCAGCAUUAAUGCCUUCACCACAGUUCACUGGCACCUUUUCUAUUGAAGAAAUGCUUCCAGCAUUUGAAGGAGUUGAAUCUAGUUUGUUGACAGUUUGGCUCUCGUCAAUGCUUUCUCUCGAACCUUCGUAAUCAUCUGCAGAAGCCAUGGAUAUUCCUUUAUUAGCUACUGCAUUAAUAUCAUUAUUCAACUGAAUUCCUCCCUCAAUAUCCCAAUCCAGAUCCUUCUCAGUUUUAAACUUGUCGCCAUCCUCAAGUUCAUUGAACAAACAAUCAACAGAUUCUGUGAUCCUCAUUUGCGAUCUCAAAUUGUCUUCUCCUGAUUCUAACUCAGCUUGCUCCUCAGGCUUUCUAUCAACACUGCCAAAUUCAGUCCCAGACUCGACCUUCGGCGGUUUACAUCCAACAGCAUCCAGAACAACAGUGUCGGAUUUCUGACCAAUAACUGCAGGCGAGACUAUGACAUCUUGCUGCACAGCCCUUGCACAGUUAUCAGAUAUUUCAUCAUCCUCUGCAGAUUUCAUCACCGUAACCUUGCCCUCUCGUAGCUCUACAUCAUUAGCCAGAUAAUUGAUUUGCUCUAACUUGGCCUGAUCUUUUCCAACAUCAGAGGACACACAAUCAACAGAACUUGUGACACUAAUUUGAGGUUCCAAACUUUCCUCUGGUAACUUUUUCUCAGUUCGCUUCAUCUGUCCUUCCCCAACAUCAACCUCAUAUUCAUGCUCAACCUUCGCCAAUUCACAUCCAUCAGCCCAAAAAACAACAGCUUCAGAUUUCUUAUUCUCUCCUAUAUCUGCAGAUGGCAGUACAACAUUUUGCUCCACAGACUUAACGCUGUUCUCAGGUAAUUCACGAGCCAAUACUAAUCCAAUCACUUCCCCCUUCCUCUCUCCAAACUCUCUAUCAGUGUCAGUCAGAGACUCUUGAUUCUCUAUCGGCUCAGUAGUAGACUCAAAGUCAGCUUGAUCCUCAGCCUUAACCUCACAAGCAGGCUGGCCAUCCUCUACCUCACCUAUACUUCCAGUCUCAGCAAACAAUUCACCAUGCAAAGCCACAUCUUUAUCAGUCACCGUCGAUAACCCACAAUUAUUCUCCUCUUUCAAAUAAUCUUGAUCAUUAUCCCCAACCCCAACAACCCCUUCCCUAUUUUCAACUUCUACACCACUCUCAUCCUUCAAGCCAACUUGAUCCUUAACUUCCCCCUCACAAUCAUUCCUCCCAUUUCCAACAACUACUUCCCCAUUUUCUACCCCGACACCGCUCUCAUCCUUCAAGCCAACUUGAUCCUCAACUUCCACCUCACGAUCACUCCUCCCAUCUCCAACAACUACUUCCCCAUGUUCGAGCCCGACAACACUCUUAUCCUUCAAACUAACUUGAUUCUCAACUUCCACCUCACGAUCAUUCCUCCCAUCCCCAGCAACUACUUCCCCAUUUUGAAGCUCGACACAAGUCUUACCCUUCAAGCCAACUUCCACCUCACGAUCAUUCCUCCCAUCCCCAAAAACUACUUUCCCAUUUUGAAGCCCAAGACAAGUCUUAUCCUUCAAGCCAACUUGAUCCCCAAAUUCCACCUCACGACCAUUCCUCCCAUCCCCAACAACUACUUCCCCAUUUUGAAGCCCGACACCACUCUCAUCCUUCAAGCCUCCUUGAUCCUCAACCUUCACCUCACAAUCAGCCUGUCCAUCGCCUACUACACCGACACCUCCAUUCUCAACAACCAAUUCACCAUGCAAAGCCCCACCUUUAUCCAUCACCGCAGCCAACACAUGAUCAUUCCCCUUUCCCGCAAACUCUACGUCAUCUCCCCCAAUCCCAACAACCACUCCCCCAUUCCCCACUCUCCCAUCACCAUCCUUCAAAAACACCCCCUCUUUCACCUCCACAUUACAAUCCCCACCACCAACAGGAUCACCACCGCCAUUUACCUUACUGACAAAAACAUACGAACCACCAUCACCACCACACGCAUUGCCAUUCCCUUUACAGUCCACAAAGUCAAUCUUGGUCCCACCAAAAUCUCCACCGACUUGGGUCAGAUCCUGGUGUGAACUCAAUUCCACACCACCCGUUAAGCCCUUUAAACCCACCAUAUCAUCCCCAGUACCAGCCAUCAUUUAAACCCACAAUUACAACACGAUCACACAGUUCUACGACAAAACAAACGCGCACAAAAAACCCCAUAAAUUAUCUUCCUCACAGAUCCACAAAAACAUAAUAAAAUCACAUAAUUACAAAACCAAAACACGUGCAUUGUACCUAAAAAACAGUGUCACAGUAUAUAAAACAACAACACGCACACACAAUCAAAAAUUUUAAUUGAAUUAACAUACCUGACUCCUUGUGAUCAGCAACAGAGCCCCUGAUCAAAAUCAAAGAGUGCACCAAAUUAAAACUGCAAUUAGGGUUUAAUAAUUGGGAAUGAGAGCUAAGCAAGACAAGAAGCGAGAAUUAACAACUGGGAAUUUUUUGCUGCUUGUGUUGUGUGAAAAGGCUGAGGGAUAGUGACGAUAUAUAUAGGAGUCUUGUAGAUGUAAUUAGUAUCCUAUUGUUCAAACAAUCCUCCUUACCGUGGCCAUAACAUUUACUGCUGUAUCCUCUUUUUAUCUCCAGAGAUUUUGUUGAACACAUAGUCAAAUUUUUAGGUGGGGAGUGCCACAUUUUUUUUUUUAUUAUUUUGCCACACCAAUUUAGCAAAUUCAUUCCCUAAUUGGGUAUGCAUAAUAAUCAUAGAUGUAUUCUAAUUUCAAGAUUACCAGAGGGGAGAAACAACUAAUUUUUCAAUGCUUUUUAAGAAAUUUUGAUGAGAUGUUAAUUAGUUAAGUAUGUGAAUUAAUAAUUGAUAUUCUUGUGUUUUUGAAAGAAGGAUUUCGGAAAUCCGAUACGGAAAUUGGUAUCAAAGACGAUGACCUAAUCUGGUAUCUGACAUAAUUUGGUAUCAGAGACGUAAAAUAAUAUGUUGUAAAAAUAAUUAAAUGAUCAUUAUAUUUAAAAGCGUCUCAGAUAGAUAUGAACAAACCUGACAUUCGAUAAUACGAUCAUCGUUUUGAAUUUCACGAACAUGAAGUAGGGUGAUAAUCGCCCAUACAUGAUUACUGUAUCCAUAAAAUAUGCCUCAAAUAUGCCUCAUGUCUUUUAAUAAUAUUCAAUCGUAAAGAUUGAAGCGAACCAUCGCUUUCAAGCUUGAAAUUCGUGUUACAGUUCGAACAAUACCUAAUGAAUAUGGACCGAGAACAGAUUCAAUCGAACAAUAUAUAAUAUAAAUCGAACAAAUAAUACGAAAUAUAUCUGUCAUUGAAAACUGUUACAAAAUUUUAUAAGUAUGAUUUCGACUAAAUUGAUCAAGUUUUUUGCAAUUGAACAUUUACAUGGACAACUGAUUAAUCAUUCAUAGAUGCUAAUAUAUUUGCGAAUCAAAAUUCUUGUUUAGUAAAUAUUAUUACUUAAUAUGACACACAAUUUAUAAGAAAAUCAGUAAAUUAUUGCAUAAAAUAAAAGGUUGAAAGGUCGAUCAUUACCUAUGUAUUUCUGAUUUUUUUUGCCGAUCGACUUGAACGAACGGUGAUAUAUUUCUGGUGCCGGACAUUGUUAUCGGAUAUAACUGAUCGAGCAGAGUAAUAUUUUAGUAUCAGGAAGAAGAAAGUCAGGGUAUAUCGAUAUGUGAAUAACCAAGAGUGUAUUUAUAUAGCAUGAUACCUUCGAAAAGUAUAUUAUUUUUUUAAUCGUUAAAAUAUAUUUUUAUUUAUUAUAAUUGAAGAGUAAAAAUCAUCUAAUAAUUACUCUCUCCGUCUCUCUCAUUUCUUUACACUUUUUUUUACAUUAUCCGACACGCAUUUUCAGGGGCAUAUAAAAUAUGGUUCCAAAAUUUUUUUUUGGAAAUUUUCUUUUUAUGUAUAAAAAUUUAGAUGGUAAAUAUUUAUUCAGAAGGAAAAUAAUUCAAAAUAUUUAUCAAACUAAAUUUAAUGAGGGCAUUCGAAUGCGUGCCGAGCCCCGUUUCCCAAUGUAAACAAUUGAGGGGAACGAAAGGAGUACAAACUAUCAGUUUAAUAAAAACAUUUGCAAAAAAAUCAUGUUCGAACUUCUUUCGGAAAUAUAUUUGACACCAAUUUUUUGCGCAAACUAAUUUUUUUUAUGUAUUUAAACAUAUAAAUUUAGACAAUUAUGUGAUAUAUUAAAUUAGAUUUAGAUUCAAUAUUUUUUAUAAUUUAGGUUGAUACAAAAGAUUAAUAUAUUUCAAAUAAUUCUAUAUUUUAAUAUAUAAAAAAAAUAUAAAAUAAUAAAAUAUAACAAUUUUAGAAUUACUAUUAACAUAGUCUUAAAUUUAUAAUAUGUUAUUGAUUACCUUGUUUAAAAACUAAUUUUUUUAUUAUUAUUUGAUCUAUUGUCUUUACAUCCUUAUGUUAAUUUAAAAUUACUUAUGCAUUAUAAUUUAAUUUAGUCUAAAUUGAAAGAUAUUGUCAUUGUCAAAUACUUAGUUCAAGAGUGUAAAUAGUAAAAUUUGUUGUGUGCUUAGUAACAUGUAUUUAAUGUAUUAUAAUUAAAAUUAUCUACAAGUAAUCUUUUUACUGGAUAUUUUAAUGUAUCUCGUUAUCUGAAAGUAACUGUUGUAAGAUCAAAUGUUAUCUGCAAAUAUAAAUAUUUAUCAUAAUAUUAUAUUUAAAACUAUCUGCAAGCGAAUUUUUUAUAGUAAAUGUUAUGAGAUCACGAUGUUAUCUAUAAAUAUAAAAAGUCAAUAAGAUAUUGAAAAUUAUCAUAUAAUCUAUAGGAUAUUAUAAACAAUAUUAUCCUAUACAGUAUCUCCCACCUAACAACUAAAUUUUUAUUUCUAUGGAUAAACGUAUUUAAUUAUAUUAUUUUUUUGUUUCAUCUUUUGUCUAUAAAUACUGGUAUGCUAGUUUAUUUUGUUAUAUUUGGAUGAUGUUGAAUGUCUCUAUAGUUGUAUACACUCAUGAUCAGGGAUGACAACGAGUCGGAUAUCGAUCGAUUUUAGCUAAUUCAAAUAUUUUUGUGUCUUAAAACUAAAUCUAAAUUCAUCGGAUUGCGGAUAAGUUAAAUUUCUUCGGGUUACAAAUUUUUAAAUAAUACAUGCAAGUACAUUAUACUUAAUAUGAGCAAUUAAUAACAUUUUUUGUUAUUCUAGCAAAUAAUAUAAUGUGUGUGUGUAACACAUAACAUUAUAAACAAAUAAGUUUAAUUGGUAAUAUAUGAAUUGUUCGGAAAUUAAAUUAUUAUAGUCAUUGAAUUAAGAACUAAAUGAUUUUUUUCAUGAAAUAAAAGAAUGGAAUAAUUUGAAUAUUGAUUAAUAUUGAAAUGGGGCAAGAAACGUAUUUAUAGUAUUUGUAUUGUAUCUAAAAUAUUAAUAUAUAAAUUAUAAUAUGAAUGUGUGUGUUUUAUCGAGUUUCGAUCGGGUUUCAGAUUUCGAUUCGGCACACGUAAGAUCCAAAUCAAAAAUAUCAGUUUCGGUAAUAUCCAAUCUGAUCGGAACGGAUCAGAUUAUUUUACCAUCUCUCGACGUGAUCAAUUGGUAAUAGGUUAACUUUAAUUAAUUUCAUCAAAUGAGUCAUUAUCAUCUUAUCCAGUGUCAUUAUCAAUUUCAUCGAGUGUGUCAUUAUCAUCUUAUCCAGUGCCAUUAUCAUCCUAUCCAUAAAUACAAUACAUUAAAUUGAUACACGUUAUAUAUAUAUAUAGAGAGAGAGAGAAAAUCAUUAUAUUUGAAAAUCACUAAUAUAUUAUUUUAAAUUUAAUUAUUUCAUUCACAUGCACUACUCAGAACUCUUAAGAUUUUAUUUAAUGAGGUUUAUAUUUAUAAAAAUUACUUGAUUUAAGAUCAUUCUCACAAACACGGUUAAAAUUUAUUUCAUUCAGUUUAGAUUAUAGUCUCAGUUUAAUAAGUGAAUUGUAAAUGAGAUGAGGAUUUAAGAGCAUCUUCGGUGGGUUCUUAAAACAAGAUCCUAACUCCAAAUUUAAAGAUGAUAUGAAAAAUUAUACUCUAAUGGGCUCCUAGCAGCUCUUUAAAAAUUUAAGAGUUUCCUCGUUCUCCUUUCUUUUAAAGAGCAUCUAGGUGCUCUUAACUUAUUUUCAUUGAAUAAAAUAAUCACUUCUUUCUAUUUUUAUUCAUGUCUCCCUAAUUCUCUCUCCAACUUUUCUCUCAAAUAAUAAUAAAAUAUGAAUAAAGAGUAGGAUUGGGGUUGUCACAAUAUUCAAUGUAUCAACUUACUACGAGCCACAUAUUAUAUUAUUUUUUAAAAAUAAUAAAAUCAUGGAUAUUAUUAUUUUUAAAAAAUAAAAAUAAUAUAUUAAAUAUUGAAAAUUCGGCUAAUCGAUCGUUUUUUCGAUUAAUUGUGAUUAAUAACCUAAUAACCAAAAAAUCGAAUUUCAAAAUUUUCACUAUCAAAAAUCGAACCGAAUUAUAUAAUUUGAUUAACCGAGCCGAAAAAAUUCAAUGAUUCGGUACGGUUUUCGGUUAACCGAACAAGCUCACCCCUGGAUCCCUAGAGAAGAUAAUCCGGGACAGAUUGUCAAUAUUUUAUUCCAUAGGAUACUCCUAAAUAGAUUGUCGGAGAAAGACCUAGAUUGAACGAGGCUAUGCUUACGUCACCAGUAAUUAAAGUGUGAAGCAGGAUUAAGGCGUGGUCUAAAUUUCCAUUUUGGGACCAAGGACCACAUCGCCUUUUCACGCUACAAUUUGACAUGCGAGUUUCGCUUUGUCCCACGUUCACUUGAUCAAAAUUUCAGUAACUUAUAUAAUCUAGCCUAUCUAGGCUAGGUAAGAGCAAAGGCGUGUUUCAUUUACCUUUUCCUCCCGUAACCACGCAUAUCCUCGAUAGUCAAUUCCGAAGGCAGCCACAUUUUUUCCUUGAAAACCAGUCCACCGAAUAUACAAGAUUUUAUUUUAAGAUUUUUUGACAGGAAUUUUAUUCUAAAUUGAACAAAGCUCAGAAUUUUUUUUAUUAUAUUAGUUUCGAUCGCAGAUUUUAAUCUUAUUCUAAAUUUGUCAAAUAUAAUUUUUAUUUUAAGUUGAAUAGGGCUCAUAAGUUUGUUUAUUAUACUGGUUUGAUCACAGAAUUUAAUUUCACAAAUAAAUCAUUGAGAAUAUCAAUAAUUGAAUUAAAUAUAUUCUAAUAUUAUUCAGACAAUGAUAACUACAUAUUCCGUUCUAGUGCCUCCUUCGCCGUGUACGAGUGUCUUGUAAUGUUGCUGAAUGAGAGCCUACUGAACAACACCGGUGGGAGAUUUGAGCCUCGCAACGCCUCUGACGUGAGAAUAAGUACGGGCGAUGGAAAAUAAACUAUAUAUGUGUGGUGGGUGAAGGUGUAUGCCUGCAGCAUAUAGUAGCUUGGAGUGUGAGAAAUACGAGUGUGUGGACAAAAUUUUAUAAUUUCUUUACUUUAGAAGGUUUUAUUUUAUUUAUCUAAAUUUUUUUUUUGACAGAAAUGCACUUGCCCGUAAUGAGAUACACCAAUACUUCGAGAAGUUUCCUUCAUUCAAAAAGCUUAUUGAACCGAAAGACAUGAAAAUGUCUCCGGAAGUUUAGACAAUAACACGUAAUGUCCGAAAAGAAAAACAUCCUAACUUGUAAGACCACGCUACCUAAAACAAAUACAAUCCAAUUAAUAACAAGAAAAUAAUAAUAAUAAAUUUAAUUAUUAAAAUGGGUAUAGUUCUCAUUCUCAAAAAAAGAUAAACCAAAAAUAAUUUAUCAAAAACAGAAGAUAAAUAAAAGAUAGAAAAAAAGUAUAUCUAACCAAAGGGAGACCCUUUGGCUAGAUAUAAAACAAGCUAUAUAAUUACUAAGAAUAAUUAAUAAUAUAAGUAAUAUAAUAUAAAACAUCUUCAAGAUAAUAUCUAAAAUUUUAGAAACAAAUUACAUAUAAUAAACAAGCCAACAAAAUGGCACCCAAUUGCCUUAGAAGGUUCUAUUUUGAUUCACUUUUUCUAAUCAAAUUUAAGUGGGAAAUCUUUUUUCUCCCCGGAACAUAAUAAAUAACAAUGAGCUAAAAUAUAAAAACUCAAAAUUUUGUUUUAGCAAAUAGUAUUUGUAUUUUUCAUAAUAUUUUCCUAAAAUUUAAUUUAUGAAUUGUAUCUGAUUUUGAUUUUAUGCGGAUUCUUGAUAAAAUGUCACAUAAUUGUUAUAAAUUUUCUAGGAUUUAAGCACAAUUGAUAUAAACCCAUCAUUUCACAAAAUCCAAAAAAUUCAUAUACAUAUGAUUACCAUCAGAUUUUAAUGAAUUUUAAACAAUCCCAAUUGAAUAUCAUCGAAUUUAUAAACAUAAUUUAAAUUUCUGAUUGAAUAUUUAUCGGAUUCUGUAACAUAAUUUAAAAUUUUAAUUAAAUAUUUCUAGAUUAUAAUGAUUUUUAAUCAAGUUCAAUUGAAAAAAUCUUUUUAAACACGAAUCCCCAGUAUUCUAAUAGGGUCAAGUUUAACAAUUUAUUCAGUUUUCGUAACAAAAAAUUGUGAUGGGUCAGCCUAGUAAAGGCAAGUCCAAUACUAUGUUGCAGGAAAAAGUCGGGAAGAAAGUGUGUAAUUUUCGCAAUAUAACAAAUGAAUCUAUGGGCUUUUAAAAGUACUGGAAGCUUAUACUUUACAAACGGGUGGGCUGACUGCUUAGAUACAUACAACAACUACCUUGUACGUAUCGCCGUCCUAGUGUAAUAUUACAAACUGCCUGUAUAUAAAACCUCAAACACACAACAGAAGAAAAUAUUGUUUGGUUUGUUUCUAGGUAUAUCGAUUAUAUUAAACGUUAAUAAAAACAAAACGACGUCGGAGAAUCGCGUUAUGGAUUCAGAUUUUGGUGUCCCGAGAGAGCUUUCUCACUUGCAGAAGCUCCGAUCUCAAUAUCAGCCGGAGCUUCCGCCGUGCCUGCAGGUAUUUUUUAAUUAUUUUUUGUAUUUAUCAUCUACAAUGCUGAAAAAUUAUCAGUUUUUUUUGGGUGUUUUUUAAAAGUUGUGAUCCCUACUUUGUUAAUGCUAAUAUACAUCUGAUUGGUUGUUUGUGAAUAUGUACUUGAUUUGUUUUUAUUAUUGUUGAUAUAUAAGUGAGAUUUUAGUUUAAGUUUGGGAAUAUAGUGUUCUAGAGUGAAGGGGUAGAUCUCAGGUGUUGGAUCAUGGGGAUGUUGUGGGUUGUUGGCCGGCUUCUUGAUUUUAAUGCAAUGUGUUUACAAUGAGUAUGAGUUAAGAUUUGGAUAGUUGUGAUUACUAGAAUAUAUUUAGGAAUGGGGAAACCGGAAAAGGUUGGAUCACCUGGCAUUUUCGGUUGGUAUUGUUAUUGACUCGUUAUGGCAAGAACAUAUCUCACUAUGCUGAGUGUUCUUUUGCCUUGUGAACUUGUGAACUAAAGUUCUGGUGAAGCGAAGCCAUGUUGGUCAUCACUUCUUGCUAAUAUACUUUUAUGUGGCAUUUUAUUGAAAUUUUCAGAAAAUGUUGCUCGGCUCCUUGCUGUUGAUAAUUUGUGUUUAUGUGGACAUAAAUAAUAUCUGACUCUGCUUUGUAAUUUACAGGGAAAAAGCGUGCGGGUAGAGUUUAGUGAUGCCACUGCUUCUACAGAUCCCUCUGGUGCUCACACCAUAAGUCGAUCCUUUCCGCAUACAUAUGGUCAGCCGUUGGCUCAUUUUCUUAGAGCAAGUGCCAAGGUUCCUGAUGCUCAGAUAAUCUCCGAGCAUCCAGCAGUUAGGUAUACACCUGAAUUGGAUUUCAUUUUUCUUUCAGUUGACUUGCACAACAGGCCAUCCUAGCUAAAAGUAUUCGGAUUGGAGUACCCAGUCAGAAAAACUUUUUUCUAGUUUAAAUCUGCAUAUGUAUAAGUAUUUAACUUGCUGUUUAAGUUUGUGCAAAACAAAUUUGAUUUUAUAAUAGAAUCGUUUUGCUCAGAUCUCGUUAUGUUCCUGUAAUGUGUGCCAUAACAACAAUAGACAGUGUUGGUAUCAUAAAGGUGAGGAAGAAUCUUGUAUCUAGUUGUAUACUCAAACUAAUAUUUGUUAUAAAUCUCCUCAGGGUUGGAGUGGUUUUCUGCGGUAGACAAUCACCAGGAGGACAUAAUGUCAUAUGGGGUCUUCACAAUGCUCUUAAAACUCAUAAUACCAGCAGUACUUUGCUCGGGUUUCUGGGUAAGUAUUCUGCCUCUUCUGUUCAGCACAGCUCUUAAAAUUUUCAAAAUCCGUGCAUUUAGAAAUUGACUUCAAAUUUCUUCGUUGCACUCCAUUGUAUAGAUCAAUUUUUCUUGCUGCAAAUGAGCUUGAGUUGUCCAGUAUCACUUCCAUUAUAUUAUUUGUUUGAGUUAUGUGGAGUUAGCAGAAGAGACCUUUCUGCAAUUCAUAUACAAACUUAAAGACAUUUUCAGUAUCAAUUAAAGGCUCAUUGUUAUGAGUUUGGAGGUUAUGUCUCCAGAAGAAGGAAUGAGUUUGAAGUUUUUUUAACUGUGAGAUUGCCUUUCUGUUCCAUACCAGGUGGAUCUGAAGGUUUAUUUGCACAAAAGACUCUUGAAAUCACCGAUGAAAUACUGGCAACUUAUAAAAAUCAAGGUAUCAGUAGAAUGAUGAUUUAAUAUUAAGAUGAAAACAAUAAUUAUUUAAUAUUAAGAUAAAGAUCUAUUUAGAUUCAAUUCACUUAUACUUUCUAAUCCUGUGAAGGUGGUUAUGACUUGCUCGGAAGGACAAAAGAUCAAAUAAGAACAACAGAGCAAGUAACUGCUGCAUUAUCAACAUGCAAAGCUUUAAAGUUGGACAGCCUUGUCAUUAUAGGGGGUAAAUUAGCUUCUCUCAUCUCCUCUUGUCCUCCUUUUCUCCUCCUCCUCUAACAAGACAGUUUUUAUACUGUAAUAGGGGUAACAUCAAACACAGAUGCUGCGCAGCUUGCAGAAACUUUUGCAGAAGCAAAAUGCCCAACAAAGGUACUUUUCUGUGCAUAAGGCAUCAGUCUGCAAUCAGGAUAAUCUUCAUUUAACUUUACGUAAACGUACCACAGAUUGCGCUUCUAUGAUUCGAUGGUAAUUGAUUAUGUUUGAGAUCUGCAGGUGGUUGGGGUUCCUGUUACAUUAAAUGGGGAUCUCAAGAAUCAGUUUGUUGAAGCAAAUGUUGGAUUUGACACUAUCUGUAAGGUGCAGCUAGUCUUUAUGUUGUGACAGAUUAUGUUAUUUGCUUCUCAUUGUCAUCCUCUCUCAGAGGCUUACGAUGUCAUAUUCUGUUCAUAACAUUGGUGAAUAUUUGUUAAGUUAAAUUUUUUUCUGGUAUACAGGUCAAUUCCCAGCUUAUUAGCAAUGUCUGCACUGACGCCCUUUCAGCGGAGAAGGUAUAUAUCCCACGUCCAUACAAGGAAUUUGACUGCCAACCUUUACUUAUCCUCUUUAUAUUAUUCUACUAAAUAAUCUGUUGUUCAUGCACUUUAUUGGCUAACUAGGUUUGUUUCUGCUUUUCUAAACUCAACUGAGCGACCUUUUAUUUCUCCUCAGUAUUACUAUUUCAUCAGACUCAUGGGCAGGAAGGCAUCACAUGUUGCUCUGGAAUGUACUCUCCAGUCACAUCCAAACAUGGUCUGCCUUUUACUCUUAUACUUUAAUAUUUAUAAUGCUUUCAGGUUCUUGUAGAUGGAUGCUGAUUUAUUAUUUGCAGGUUAUUCUAGGUGAGGAGGUGGCUGCAGAAAAACUCACUCUUUUUGACCUUACAAAACAACUAUGUGACGCAGUGCAAACCAGAGCAGAGCAAGGUGAGAAUAUCAUAUUCCCCUCUGUGUUUUAUGAUGCUUAUCAUCCACUUAAUAUAAUUUUAUUUGAACAGACAAGUACCACGGAGUUAUCCUACUACCAGAGGGUCUCAUAGAAAGCAUUCCUGAGGUUUAUGCUUUAUUGCAGGUAAAGUCCAAUAAGUUUUACAUUGUUUGGUUGCUAUUCAACUUUCCAAGUAUUGUAUCUUAAAAUUUUGUUCUCCCAAGAAUUCACUAAAGUGGUUAUUGGUGUGGUUUAACAUCUUAUUAUUACAGGAAAUUCAUGGUUUGCUCCGUGAGGGCCAUUCAGUCGAUAAUAUUUCCUCUAAAUUGUCACCUUGGGCAUCUGCCUUGUUUGAAUUCUUGCCUCUGUUCAUCAGAAAACAGGUCUAUAUUCUAAUUCAUGUUAAUGCGAAUUUUACUAUCUUCAUGCUGAGGUACUCAUUUUAAGUAGUUAUAUGGCAGUUGCUCCUCCAUCCUGAAUCAGACGACUCUGCUCAACUCUCUCAGGUAUUGGGAACUGUUGUUUUUGCUGUACUACGUAAAUUUAUUAUUCAAAUUAAGUAACUCUAAAUAUCUUUAAACCCUUUUAGAUUGAGACAGAGAAGCUUCUUGCUCAUCUUGUGGAAGAAGAAAUGAACAAGCGCUUGGUAUGUUAACCUUUCUGACAAAUGACAGUGUGAUGUUCAGGGACUCGCAUUUUACUCACUUUCCCAUAUGAAAAAUAAUAGCCCACUUCCCACUUUCUUCUCAAGUCUUUAUUUUUUUAUUACAUGAGAACACAACUACAUACUCUUUGCCAGGUUAUGAGAUGGUGUGCAAAGGGAACAUACUCAUUGUUCUGACUAUCAUUUUUUAGUAGUUAGUAGCGCUCUCUAAUUACAGUGGAUGAACAUUUUUAUCUUUUCCCAUCAGUUGCACCAUUUGUUUGGUGUGGAAAGUCCUCCAGACUCUUUGGCUAUUGGGCUGGUUUAGAAGUGCCGUAGGGAUGUGCAUGGCUUGUGCUGAUAGAACUUUAUAAGUUACUGAUCAGACACACACGGUCUCUUUAAUUUGACAUUUAUCUGCCCUCGGGCAAUGUUAUUGCUGAAUUUACCUUGACGUGAGUGUUCAAAGAAGCUGCGACAUUUCUUUUUAAGUAAGCAUUGUCGCAAUGGUCUAAAUCAAGAUUUUUUUAUUUUUUUUCUGGAAACCUUCUAGUAAUUCAUUGUUGUUCUUUUUGAAGUCUUCUCUAGUGGAAACAAUGCCUUAAAAAUUAGUAGUCUUUCCCGACGGACGUAUAAUACCGUCAGUGCUUACUGAAGUUCAGACAAACCUUAAAAGUAGUUUUCUGUUUUCCAAAUUUCAUUUAGAUUACUAUGAAAUUUUCUGGCUAACAUUUUAAAUAUGAUGCUGAUUUAUGUAGCAACUGCAAUUUUGUGUAUGCAUACUCAACUGUUUUUCAUUUAGAUCCCGUUUGAGUGCUUGUAAACACGUUUUCUUUCUCAAUCGAAUAAAGAAUUUAUCACAUUAUCAUCGAGUAAAACCUCAAUUUGGUGUUUCUUUUGUGAUCUAAACAG
rnacentral:lncRNA from 1 species